rnacentral:snRNA from 1 species
GCAUGUGAGGGGAAUCUAGAUGUAAAAUGUGUCACCUGAUUGAUUGUCAGCUUACCUGGUUGACAAGGCAAUUGUUCUUUUCCUCCUUCAUAACUCCAUGUGCAUCCCACUCAAAGCUCUGCACUCAUGGUUGGUGAAAGUAGAUGGCCUUCUCCAAUAGAGAAGGUACAUUUUUUUUUAGGAAAGGGUACACAAUUGGCUGUAUUUCCCUAUAAAAUACUCUAAACAAGUUCUCAGGACCUGUAUUUAGGAGAACAUAGAGUAGUAAAAUGUCUCGGUAAUAAAGAUCUAUCCAAAUGAGGAGGUGCUUGUGGAAGUCUGUUUUU